rnacentral:rRNA from 1 species
UACGGGGGGGGCAAGCGUUGUUCGGAAUUACUGGGCGUAAAGGGCUGGUAGGCGGCCAACUAAGUCGGAUGUGAAAUCCCCAGGCUUAACCUGGGAACUGCAUCCGAUACUGGUCGGCUUGAAUCCGGGAGAGGGAUGCAGAAUUCCAGGUGUAGCGGUGAAAUGCGUAGAUAUCAGGAGGAACACCUGUGGUGUAGACAGCUUACUGGGCCAUCACUGACGCUGAGACACGAAAGCGUGGGUAGCAAACAGG